rnacentral:rRNA from 1 species
UACGUAGGGCGCAAGCGUUAUCCGGAAUUAUUGGGCGUAAAGCGCUCGUAGGCGGUUUGUCGCGUCUUCCGUGAAAGUCCGGGGCUCAACUCCGGAUCUGCGGUGGGUACGGGCAGACUAGAGUGAUGUAGGGGAGACUGGAAUUCCUGGUGUAGCGGUGAAAUGCGCAGAUAUCAGGAGGAACACCGAUGGCGAAGGCAGGUCUCUGGGCAUUAACUGACGCUGAGGAGCGAAAGCAUGGGGAGCGAACAGG